rnacentral:lncRNA from 1 species
GGUGAUGAAAUCGAAACAUAGACAGAACACAAGCAACAACACAAACAAACAAUAACAAUUGAAAUAAAUAAAUCGGAACACGUCGAACAAAAUGAGCUCAAAUACAAGUAGAACCGCGUACAAAACAAUAAUGACCAUUAUUUAUUUUGAAUCACUAGCAAACCGCCGUUUACAAAUAGCUUAUUCUUCAAUUAAUAACAAACAACUCAAAGUGAUUUGUAUAAUCAACUUUCAUUUUACAAUGUUCACAACUGGAGAUUCAGAUGAAGGGUCAUUUUCCUAAAAGAAGCAUGGACAGGUUACAAAUCAAGUUGAGAGAGGAACAUAGGGGGGAGAGACAUACGAACUUCCAACCAUGCAAACUGGUUUGAAUUGGCGGGUACCAUUACAGUUAAGUUGAGAAGCCUUGACGACUAUGAACAUGAAUUAUAGUAUAGUUAAACUGAGUUUUAAAUUAGCAUGAUCUUUUUCUUUAAAUAAACAUGCAUUUCCAUACCAUUCUCAUGUUCUGUACUUGAAGAAAUAAUCAUAGUUGUUGGUUCUUCUUGGCCAGAUCUAAAUAUUCCUGCAACUUCUCCACAUGAUAUAAGCCAUUUAAUUGAAAUAAAGUUUUGUUCACUGACACUGUACAUUCAGUUCUACCUUUUCUAAAGGUAAUUGAAAUAUCAACUUGUUGAUGAUAUUGGUGUAAAAGAAUCUAUAAUAGCACUAAUUAUUUCUGGUUUCAACUUGUGUUUUGUAGAAUUUUUUGAAAUUGGCAGAAAUGGAAGAUGGGUUGCAGGUGAUCAAAUAUGGUGGGUAUUUAUAGACUGUGAACAAAUUAUUUGUGCAAUGAAAUAAAUUUCUUUUGGAACAAAUAGGUAAGACGUGGGCAUGUGGCUAUAGGUUUUAGCACUUGAGUGUAUAUACUGUGAUGUGUUAAAGCUUGCAGGUGUAGUAUUCUUAGGUUCAAAUAGGAUUUUUGUUGUGGGACAUCCCCUAUAAAUAUUCUGAGGAUAAUAUAAUACUCAAUUUUCAUUGUUUUGGAUGCUCUUUAAGACAUUUGUUGUAAUAUAAUAAUUUAUUUGUACAAAAAUAGAUUAAAAAAAAGGCCCG